AGAAACUAACAAGGAUUCCCCUAGUAACUGCGAGUGAAGCGGGAAAAGCUCAAAUUUAAAAUCUGGCGGUCUCCGGCCGUCCGAGUUGUAAUUUAGAGAAGCGUUAUCCGUGCUGGACCGUGUAUAAGUCUCCUGGAAUGGAGCGUCAUAGAGGGUGAGAAUCCCGUCUUUGACACGGACUACCAGUGCAUUGUGAUGCGCUCUCGACGAGUCGAGUUGUUUGGGAAUGCAGCUCAAAAUGGGUGGUAAAUGCCAUCUAAAGCUAAAUAUUGGCGAGAGACCGAUAGCGAACAAGUACCGUGAGGGAAAGAUGAAAAGAACUUUGGAAAGAGAGUUAAACAGUACGUGAAAUUGUCGAAAGGGAAACGGUUGCAGUCAGUCGCGUCCGCCGGGGAUCAACCUUGCUUUUGCUUGGCGUAUUUCCCGGUGGAUGGGUCAGCAUCAGUUUUGACCGCAGUUGAAAGGCUGGAGGAAUGUGGCACCUUCGGGUGUGUUAUAGCCUCCUGUCAUAUGCUGCGGUUGGGACUGAGGAACUCAGCACGCCGCAAGGCCGGGAUUCGUCCACGUUCGUGCUUAGGAUGCUGGCAUAAUGUCUGUAACCGACCCGUCUUGAAACACGGACCAAGGAGUCUAACAUGCACGCGAGUGUUUGGGUGGCAAACCCGAGCGCGUAAUGAAAGUGAAAGUUGAGACCUCUGUCGUGGAGGGCAUCGACGCCCGGACCAGAACUUUUGGGACGGAUCCGCGGUAGAGCGUGUAUGUUGGGACCCGAAAGAUGGUGAACUAUGCCUGAAUAGGGCGAAGCCAGAGGAAACUCUGGUGGAGGCUCGUAGCGAUU
rnacentral:rRNA from 1 species